rnacentral:rRNA from 1 species
CGGCUACGUAUCGUUGCCUUGGUGAGCCGUUACCUCACCAACUAGCUAAUACGGCGCGGGUCCAUCUAUAAGUGACAGCAAGACCGUCUUUCACUAUCGAACCAUGCGGUUCGAUAUGUUAUCCGGCAUUAGCCCCGGUUUCCCGGAGUUAUUCCAGUCUUAUAGGUAUGUUACCCACGUGUUACUCACCCGUCCGCCGCUAACGUCAAAGGAGCAAGCUCCUCGUCAGUUCGCUCGACUUGCAUGUAUUAGGCACGCCGCCAGCGUUCAUCCUGAGCCAUGAUCAAAAU